CCUACGGGUGGCAGCAGUAGGGAAUCUUCCGCAAUGGACGAAAGUCUGACGGAGCAACGCCGCGUGAGUGAUGAAGGUUUUCGGAUUGUAAAACUCUGUUGUCAGGGAAGAACACCCUAGAUGGACUCUAGGACUGACGGUACCUGACGAGAAAGCCCCGGCUAACUACGUGCCAGCAGCCGCGGUAAUACGUAGGGGGCAAGCGUUGUCCGGAAUUAUUGGGCGUAAAGCGCGCGCAGGCGGUCUUUUAAGUCUGAUGUGAAAGUCCAUGGCUCAACCAUGGGAUUGCAUUGGAAACUGGGAGACUUGAGUGCAGUAGAGGAGAGUGGAAUUCCUGGUGUAGCGGUGAAAUGCGUAGAGAUCAGGAGGAACACCAAUGGCGAAGGCAGCUCUCUGGACUGUAACUGACGCUGAGGCGCGAAAGCGUGGGUAGCAAACAG
rnacentral:rRNA from 1 species